GAGUUUGAUCAUGGCUCAGGAUGAACGCUGGCGACGUGCCUAAUGCAUGCAAGUCGCACGCAGUGCCUUCGGGUAUUGAGUGGCGGGACGGCUGAGGAACACGUGGGUAUCUGCCUGGCAGUGGGGGAUAACGGGCCGAAAGGUCCGCUAAACCCGCAUACGUUCCCCUUUAUCGGGGAAGAAAGCAGCAAUGCGCUGCCAGAGGAGCCUGCGGCCCAUCAGAUAGUUGGCGGGGUAAUGGCCCACCAAGUCGAUGACGGGUCCCUGGUCUGAGAGGACGACCAGGCAGACUGGGACUGAGACACGGCCCAGACUCCUACGGGAGGCAGCAGCAAGGAAUUUUCGGCAAUGGGCGCAAGCCUGACCGAGCAACGUCGCGUGGAGGAUGACGGCUUUCGGGUUGUAAACUCCUUUGGGGGGAUGAUGAUGACAGUACCCCUUGAAUAAGCCCCGGCUAACUCCGUGCCAGCAGCCGCUGU
rnacentral:rRNA from 1 species